CUGGCGUCCCAGAGCAAGCUGGAGGCUCCCACCUCUUCGGGCAGUUCCCCCAAGCUAAGCUUCCUGCUUUCCUGACACCUCUGGGGAAAAGGAGUUGAGAGAGACUCCAGAAGCACUUCCAAGUGACCUGCCUGGAAGUGACCAGGGGAAACGGUCCAAGACGAGUACACCGAGUUUCUCCACGAGGCACAGAGCUGAGUAGGCAACCUGGCACGGGGGCAUGUGGAAGGAGCUGUGGGAAACAGCCUUGGGCCUUCUGGGGAGGUCUGUGCAGGCUCCUCUGGCCUGUAGGCCCCGAGUUCUGGUCUGGAAGGUCCCCUUUCCUGGAGCACAGGGGAGCCUGAAGUCCAGGCCUCUGAGAUGAUAGUCAUAAUUAAAGCUGCUGUUGACUGAA
ensembl:lncRNA novel transcript, sense intronic to LMX1B